rnacentral:tRNA from 1 species
GCCUGGGUGGCUCAGUUGGUUAAGCGUCCGACUUCGGCUCAGGUCAUGAUUGCACGGUUUGCGGGUUCGAGCCCCGCAUUGGGCU